UGCCCAAAUGGGUAAAAUUCUGAUUAAAUGAAUUGGAUUUUUUUUUUUUGAGGAAUGAAUUGGAGAAAUUUGUUUGUUGUGAAGGAGGACUAGUCUUUGGAGUUAUUUUCCCUUUGCUCAAAGAAGGUGAAGUGAAGAUUAGACCGUCUAAGAAGGUUUUUGAAGCUGGUAUUCGUGUCUGGGAGAAUGUCGUUAUUGCCCAAUUUAUUGGGAUGCUUGGAGUGUCAUAGAUGAAUACGUUUUGCAAGUUGUUCUGUUUUUCUUCAGGAAUGCCUCUCUUCUGCCUGAGUUCAAUGCUACGACUCUUGUCAUGGUUCCCGAAAUUUCGAAUCCUAUCAAUUUGAAGGACUUUUGACCUAUUUCAUGCUGCAACGUUAUAUGCAAAUGUAUUACUCGGGUUAUUAUAAAUAGACUUAAGCCUUAUCUGUCCGAGGUUAUUUCUUGUAGCUAGAGUGUUCAUGUUCCUGUUAGGUCUAUUAUGGACAACACACUGAUGGCCCAGGAAUUAGUCAGUGGGAUUUUGAAACUAGAUUUACGCAAGGCUUUUGAUUUUAUUGA